CCCAGGCUGUGAUUCAGGACGCGACCGGGUGGAGAGGAAAAGAAGAUAAAACGGUCACAAUAAAUCAUUAAAAUAUCGACAGAGUAGACGUGCGAUCAAUAACAAGUGCUUUUAGAUAUACUUGGAAGACCAUCCCUGUUGCCAUGGCAACUUCAAACGCAACAGAUGCUCUAAGGAGGGAAGGUUUGUUUUCUCUUCAGGGUGUUUGACGUCCUCGUUGUGAUUUGGGACGCAGCCGGCUGGUCAAAUGACCUUUAAUUAAGACCAGCGUUAAAAGGGAAAACGAACCGAUGUUUAGAAAAGUCAAGAUGUCUGGACAUGAAGUCUCCUUAUCAUGCUGCCUACAGAGGGAACGGAUCUCAGUGGAGAAGCAGAGGUAAACUCAGUGCUGCAGACACCACAUCCACCUGACGUAAAACAGGACGUCUGAGCGUUUCUGUCCCUCAGAGGCCGAGAUCUCGCUCUCCUCAUGCUGUACCAGUGACGUGCGGUGAGGUUCGUGGCUGGGGAGGCACUGACUCUUUCAAAGUCAGAGUUACAAAUAUAUGAAUUCAACAGAGUAGCAUAAAUUCACCAUUCAACUGGCUGCUUGCACACUGACUACUGGUUAUGUUUCAUAUCCCAUAUCAGCAUUCUUUACACACACAUGGAGAGGCUUUAGGAGGCGAUUGUUCACUCCUCGUCACAGGAACAUGCUAAAUCAUGCCGUGGGUCACGAUGAGCCACCGAAACAGAAGAGCGAGAGCCGAGAAGAGUCCAUCCUGGCGUUCCUUGGGAUCGCUUGCACCGUCCUGAAUCUCCUCGUCAUCAUAUUCGUCUACAUCUACACCUCCCUGUGAGUGAGGGACUCUCUCAGCUUACGUUGAUAGUCUGGAGACAGACUGGACUUUAGAUUGAGUCGAAAGUUAAUGUGUGUGAUGUUAUGUAUAAACUCUGAUUUGCAUUUUAGAUUGGGAUUUUUGUAGAUUUUAACAAAAAAUUAUAUUGCUAAAAAAACAACAACUAUUAAAUAUAUAAAAGUCUUUUAGAUUUUUCUAGUGCUUAACAGACAUGCUAAUAAUCAUCUGUAUAUUAUUAGAAAUCUGUUCUUGGGUGAGAAUCACAUGAAACCCGCAUCAUCACAGCGAGAGAGGAAUACAUUUACAAACUGUUCUUCCUGUAAGUGAUUAAAAGAGAACAAAUGAUAUAAUAUCUAUACUAUAUACCAAUACAUUGUUUGAUCUAAUUUAAUGUCAGCCAAGUGCCAAAUGACUAAAUGUAAAAGUUAAAAUGAUAAUAAUUUUCUUGUAUAUUUCUUGUAAAACAAGGAAAUUAUUUAUUUACAAUAAAAUAUUACCCGCA